rnacentral:lncRNA from 1 species
UUCAAGAGGGACCAGGAAAAAGUACCUGUUACGCAACAAACGCCGCGGCUCGCUGAAAAUACCGACCAGAGCGAAUAAUGCCUGUUUAUAAGUGAAACCGUACACCUGUGUCAGCUGCCAGCCUGAUCUUCAAGGGUCUGAAGUGAAAGAAAGAAAGGCCGCCUCAGCAGGGAGGCCGCGGUGGCGCUGGGGCAGAGCCAGGCGGAACAAGGACGCAGUGGCCGCCAGGCCACCUGCCCGGGAGGCGGGACCUGAGUCAAUAAAGCCACUAAGCAAACAGUCGUGCUCAGUUUGUACAGUGGUUGAGGCUUGUGGGCCGAGGAUCUGGAAGCCGGCACACAUCCUCCCUUAAAUCCGAGCCCAGCUUUGUUUACACGGCUCGUCUCACGGCAAGAUGGCGGCCCGCGGGGUGCGGGGCAGCCUCGGGCGAGCGGGCCGUGGGCAGGGGGCUGCAUCCCGGGGCGGCUCCCCUCUCACACAGCGGGACUGGAGAGCUGUGUUGGGGAGCCCCCCAGUUUUUCCUCUUCGGUUGCUAUGACACCCACCUACUCCAUCGAUGUAGGUAGACCUACCAAGUAUUCCUUUCGAAGGCUGAAGUGAAGACCCUGGUGUGAAGUCUCCACCUAUCUGCAGUUACUGGAAGCACAAAUCCUGAUGGAUGAGCCAUUUUAACCCACAUCACCAAACGAUGGGAAAAAUUCUUUAAGAAUGGACAAGUGCCUGUGUUAGGUCACAGUUUCUUAAUCCUUCUGGCAAUUACAACGCCCCAGGAGGCCUAACAGUUUGCAGUGCCUAGGUUGGGACCCUAGACUUGUAAGAAGCACCUUUCCUGCUGACACCACCCAUCAGUGUGUAAGUUAAUUUUCCCGAAGGGUGACAAACACACACAAUGUGCACAUGUCUCUAACAAGCCCACAUCUGAGUGUAGCCUCAACAGAUCUGAAAGCAGAGUCUUGAAAAUAUCUGUACACCCAUGCUCACAACAGUCACAGUAGCUGAAAACACCAUGCAUCCAUCAGUGUAGAUACAAAUGAACGGAAUGUGGUGUAGACACAAAGAUCAGCACUCAACUUCACAAAGCGAAUUGCAAUGCGUACUAAAACAGGCAAAGCAUCAUGUUAAGGAAAGUAAGCAGUGGUAAGGAGACAGUUAGAGCAAGCUUCCAUUUCUAAGAGAAACCUAGUCCGAUUCAGAGACGGAAAGAGCAAGAGCUGGGGAUAGGUGGGGCUGAUUAAUUCAUAAAGUGUCGGCUUUGCAUAAUAGCUUAAGCUCAUUCUCUAUUCCUAAACCCCAACACUUAGAAUGGUGUGUUAAUUUGUUUGUUUGUUUGUUUGGUCGCUUGCUUGCUUAAGACAGACUCUUACUAUGUAGCCCUGACUGGCCUACCUAGUAGAUACAACUGUGUAUACCAGGUUGGCUUCAAAAUCACAGAAAUCCACCUGCCUCUACUCCUAAAUGAUGGGAUUAAAGGCAUGCACCACCACACCCACUCAGGAUGGUGCAUUAUUUAAAAGCAUAUAUGGGGCUGGAGAGCUGGCUCAGCAGUUAAGAUUUCUAGUUGUGCUUGCAAAAGACAUGGCUUGUUUCCCAGCAUCCUCUGGGCAGCUUAGAACCAUCUGGAUCUCCAAUUUCAAGGUAUCUGACGCCCUAUUCUGGCCUCUGUAGAAAACAGGCAUGCACAUGGUACACAAACAAGCAUAACCCCCCCCCCCACUCAUACAUGUAAAGUAAGAAUAAAGCUUUUUAAAAAGGCAGACAUGGGGUCUAGCAAACAAAGAAGUAGAUGCUCAUAGUCAGCUAUUGGAUGGAUCACAGGGCCCCCAAUGGAAGAGCUAGAGAAAGUACCCAAGGAGCUAAAGGGAUCUGCGACCCUAUAGGUGGAACAACAUUAUGAACUAACCAGUACCCCGGAGCUCUUGACUCUAGCUGCAUAUCUAUCAAAAGAUGGCCUAGUCGGCCAUCACUGGAAAGAGAGGCCCAUUGGACUUGCAAACUUUAUAUGCCCCAGUACAGGGGAACGCCAGG